rnacentral:rRNA from 1 species
GGAGGAAAAGAAACUAACAAGGAUUCCCCCAGUAACGGCGAGUGAAGUGGGAAGAGCUCAAAUUUUGAAUCUGGCAGCCUCGCUGUCCGAGUUGUAAUCUCUAGAAGUGUUUUCCGCGCUGGCCCGUGUAUAAGUCUGUUGGAAUACGGCGUCAUAGAGGGUGAGAAUCCCGUCCUUGACACGGACAACCAGUGCCUUGUGAUACACUCUCGAAGAGUCGAGUUGUUUGGGAAUGCAGCUCAAAAUGGGUGGUAAAUUCCAUCUAAAGCUAAAUAUUGGCGAGAGACCGAUAGCGAACAAGUACCGUGAGGGAAAGAUGAAAAGCACUUUGGAAAGAGAGUUAAACAGUACGUGAAAUUGUUGAAAGGGAAACGCUUGAAGUCAGACGUGCGGGCGGAACUCAGCCUUCCUUCGGGUCGGUGUAUUUUCCGUCAUGCAGGCCAGCAUCGGUUUCGGGCGCCGGAUAAGGGUCGGGGGAAUGUGGCUGCUCCGGCAGUGUUAUAGCCCCCGACUUGAUACGGCGCCCGGGACCGAGGGACGCAUUUUUAGGAUGCUGGCAUAAUGGCUUUAAACGACCCGU